rnacentral:snRNA from 1 species
GGAUGUGAGGGCAAUUUGGUUGUGACAUCUGUCACACCUUUGAUUGCUAGAGUUGAUUUGAAUGAUCUGACUGGUGAAUGAGUGUCCCCUUUCUACCUCACUGCUCUGUGUGCAUCCCUCCUGAAGCUGAAGAGGACAACCUUCCCCUAUAGAGGACUGUUCUUCAGUCAAGGGUAUAUUAGUAGCUGCAUUGCCCUCCUAGAACCUCCAAAUAAGCUCUCAAAAAAGAAAAGUUAAUUAUUACUUAUGCUUUGAAACAUUCUUUUGCAUUUCAUAGGAAAAUACAGUGA